rnacentral:rRNA from 1 species
CCUACGGGUGGCAGCAGUAGGGAAUAUUGGUCAAUGGACGCAAGUCUGACCCAGCAACGCCGCGUGAAGGAAGAAGGCUUUCUGGGUGUAAACUUCUUUUAAGGGGGAAGAGCAGAAGACGGUACCCCUUGAUUAAGCCACGGCUAACGACGUGCCAGCAGCCGCGGUAAUACGUAGGAUGCGAGCGUUAUCCGGAUUUAUUGGGUUUAAAGGGUUCGUAGGCGGAAGGUUAAGUCAGCGGUAAAAUGUCGGUGCUCAACACCGACCUGCCGUUGAAACUGGUCUUCUUGAGUGAGCGAGAAGUAUGCGGAAUGCGUGGUGUAGCGGUGAAAUGCAUAGAUAUCACGCAGAACUCCGAUUGCGAAGGCAGCUUACCAAGCUACUUCUGACGUUGAGGCACGAAAGCGUGGGGAGCAAACAGGAUUAGAUACCCUGGUAGUC